CUAGGCACACACCAUAGGCUUCUGACAAUACAGCAGAAAAAGCAGCCAGCACAGCAAAUGGGUGCACAGCCAGAAAAAAGAAGUGACAAGACAAUUCGGUGUUAAUAAGGCUUCAAGCUGGAUUCCCCAAUAAUAUGGCUUUGUGGCCAGCUUUAUGGAAUACACUGGUAAUGCAAGAAAAAUGUACUUGAAGCAGGGGUAAAGGCAUCUUACUACAAGAAGAAAAAAGAUUAUUAAGAUCUUCAGGAGAGGUCUGCCUGCGGCUGCUCCCAACUCAUCUCAUGGCAACUCAGGGUCGGCCCUUUUCUAUAGCUGCCCCAAGACUCUGGAACCAACUCCCUGUUGUUGUAAGAGCUUCCCCAUCUCUAGAAGGUUUUAAAAGAGUGCUCAAGAAACAUUUGUUCCAUCAAGCCUUCGAUCAGUUGUAAGUUGUGUUUUUAUGGUUGCUGUUAUUCUUGUUGAUUGGCUGUUUUUAACUUUAAAAAAAAAUUAAAAUAAUGUUUUAAU